GUCAGCCUUCAACACAGAGACAAACAUACAGGAAAUAUGGACUAAGAAUUAUGAACACAUUAGUGAUGAGCAUGGAGGAAUAUGGGAAAAUUAUUCAGAGAGCAGAGGGGGAGUGGUUCUCAUGCAUCUGUCUUUUUACCAUGUGCUGCUCGCUCUGCUUAUCCAAGCGGCAUAGGAGCCAUCCGCUUUACGCUUCAGCACGGCGAUGGAUGCCCACCCUCUCCCACUGCUUGGUGGUGUCCAGGUAGUAUGUGGCAAUGAGGGGCAGGGUCAUGUAGACCAUGUUCUGCUCUCCACAGCCACCAGGCUGCACAAUCAGACGCCCCAUGAAGUCACCACUGAUGGCCUGCUGAACUGUUAUACUCAGCUCCUGACCUGAAGGAAAGCAAACAUGAGCGCAAAUGGAUAGGGAGAUUCAGCUACACUGAACCAAUAACAUCAGUUCAGCCUGCUGUCCAUGGCUCAUGCUGAAUGACAUUCUCUGAACCUCCCUGAGAAGAGUGUUGACACUCCUCAACUGACACUUACCACCACCUUCAAGGUCUUCCUUA